AAGUAUAUGACAAAUGUAAAAGCAACGAGACGAUAAAUAAAAAUUGAUCGUACAAUUGGAAGCGUAGGAUCGUCAAAAGCAAUCUUUCUACUACCCGCCUUCUACUAUCGAACCCUCGAAAUGGAAGGACGUUUAUUCGAGCACUUCCAUUCUAGAGCAUAUGAAAUGCGUUUCGUGUAUAUGUGGCUCGCAACGAGGCCGUAUCGCGAGGGUGUAUUCAAUCGGCGAUCGCGUUACCGCAUACAGCCCAACGCUAUUGAAUGGAGAACGUGCGUGUUCGUUUUCGGGAUAUUAAAUGUAAUAUGGGGAAGAAAAAAAAAA